GAGUAGUAUUAGAUAUAGUCUUGAAACUUAAAGAAUUUGGCGGUAUUUUAAUCUAUUCAGAGGAACUUGUUCUAUAAUCGAUAAUCCGCGAAAACUUUACUUAAUUUGUAUUUAAUUUGUAUACCGUCGUUAUAGAUUAUUUUAUAAGAAUAAUAAUUUUCUUAAUUUUAUUAAAAUAUAUCAGAUCAAGGUGCAGUUUAUGAUUAAGGAAGAAAUGAGUUACAAUAAAAAUAUUUAAAUGAAUAAAAAUAUGAAAUUUUUUUUUGAAGGUGGAUUUGAUAGUAAAAUUUUUAAUUAUAUAAGUUUGAUUAUAGCUCUAAAAUAUGU
rnacentral:rRNA from 1 species